AAAAUCACUCAAAUCAUCAUUGAAUAAUCUCAAAUUUGGUGUUUAGCUUCUCUCAGGUGUUUACAAUGAUUUUCAAAAACACUCACUCACAAUAAUAACCAAUUUUCAAAUCCGAAUUUUCAACUUCAAGAAACGAGUUUUAAUUUUUCUUGGACUCACUUGUCCUUUUCUUUUAAAAUGAAGUCUCCCCUCUUAACUUGUCCCUUCAAGAUAUAACCAAAUCGUUCAUUGUGAUUUAACUGAAGAAAUAUAAACUCUCUCUCAUUCUUCCACUGUGAUUUGGACUUCAACAACCAAAUCAUCGCUUUCCAAUCGUCCCUUGUAGGGCCCUAUUCAGUCUCUCUUCAACUGUCCCUGUAAUGGUUUCAUGAAGUGGAGUUCCAGGUUCUGUUGUAGAGAACCCUUCAUCAGCAGGGGAUGCUCCUAGGCCGUCAGAAAUUCUGAUUUCUGGUCUUUGCAAAGGAAGGUCAGAAAGCUUUUGCUCUAUAGAAUCAUCAGUGGCUAAGAUUUCUCUAUUCUGAUAAAGGAAACUGAGGAAGAAUACAAGAAGAGCGGAGCCUGCUAAUACACCAGCUAUGAGGAAAAGGCCUUUAAAACUAUCUAGCGUGAGAC